AUUUAAUACAAGGACAGAUUGCCAGGAGUAGUCAGUACAGAGAUGCAGUUACAGAAGAGGUUUUUACUAGCCCUGGGACUAUAAGUGUAGAAGAUGUAGGUGACCCUGUCCUCGCCCGUUUACGGCACAGAGUAACAGCUUCCCUGUCACUAGCACAGCCCCUACCCAGCUCGGAACGCAUCACUUCCGUGAUCUGCUUCCGGGUGUGUCGCCUGCUGGUGACGUCACGCAGCGACGUGUGCGGACUGCGGAGACCAUCCUUUCUUACGGUCUUCGCGCUGCGAGCUGUUUCCGGCGUGCACAGAAGCUCGGAAUGUUUCCAGAGACAAGUGUUUUCCAAUGUUCUAAGAAGCCAACAGAAUGCCAAACAUGUCGACCACAAGAAGUGAGCGCAAGCGUGAGUUGUCCUCAACUCAUAGGACCCACCACCAGAGAGGGAGGACAUGUUCUAAGAUGGUUCUGAGCCUGCCAACCAAUGGAAUGGUCCAAUCAUCUUCAGCAGUUCAUUGGUUGCUACGGUGAUAAGACUACUUUUUAAACAUUGCACCAGAACGGACAGACUGGUUUCGAUGCAGGAGAUAGAGCCGGUAACUGAAUAGCAACCCUUCCGUAUAUUUCAAUGGAAACAAUGAGUUAAAAAAUGUGAGAUAAAAUGUA